rnacentral:rRNA from 1 species
UACGGAGGGUGCAAGCGUUAUCCGGAUUCACUGGGUUUAAAGGGUGCGUAGGCGGGCAGGUAAGUCCGUGGUGAAAUCUCUGAGCUUAACUCAGAAACUGCCAUGGAUACUAUUUGUCUUGAAUGUUGUGGAGGUAAGCGGAAUAUGUCAUGUAGCGGUGAAAUGCUUAGAUAUCGUCAGGAAUGCCGGUGGUGAAGACGGGUGACUGGGCUGGUUCUGACACUGAGGCACGAAAGCGUGGGGAGCGAACGGG